AUAUUUGGUUGUAGGACGCAACCAAGUAAAAAUAAAGAAAAGUCCACUGAGA
rnacentral:ncRNA from 1 species